rnacentral:rRNA from 1 species
UAGGGAAUUUUGCGCAAUGGGGGAAACCCUGACGCAGCAACGCCAUGUGAGGGAUGACGCAUUUCGGUGUGUAAACCUCUGUCAGCAGGGAAUAAAUGGCCGCAAGGCAGUUGAAUGUACCUGCAAAGGAAGCCCCGGCUAACUUCGUGCCAGCAGCCGCGGUAAUACGAGGGGGGCAAGUGUUGUUCGGAAUCACUGGGCGUAAAGGGAGCGUAGGCGGGAAUUUAAGUUGGAUGUUUAAACCUGGGGCCCAACCCCAGCUCGGCAUCCAAAACUGGGUUUCUUGAAUAGAGGAGAGGUAGAUGGAAUUUCCGGUGUAGCGGUGGAAUGCGUAGAUAUCGGAAAGAACACCAGUUGCGAAGGCGAUCUACUGGACUCAUAUUGACGCUGAGGCUCGAAAGCAUGGGGAGCAAACAGGAUUAGAUACCCCUGUAGUCC